AUGACUCUCGACAACGGAUAUCUCGGCUCUCGCAUCGAUGAAGAACGUAGCGAAAUGCGAUACUUGGUGUGAAUUGCAGAAUCCCGUGAACCAUCGAGUCUUUGAACGCAAGUUGCGCCCGAAGCCACUAGGCUGAGGGCACGUCUGCCUGGGUGUCACGU
rnacentral:rRNA from 1 species